rnacentral:rRNA from 1 species
CCUACGGGAGGCAGCAGUGAGGAAUAUUGGUCAAUGGGCGCGAGCCUGAACCAGCCAAGUAGCGUGAAGGAUGACUGCCCUACGGGUUGUAAACUUCUUUUAUAAAGGAAUAAAGUGAGGCACGUGUGCCUUUUUGUAUGUACUUUAUGAAUAAGGAUCGGCUAACUCCGUGCCAGCAGCCGCGGUAAUACGGAGGAUCCGAGCGUUAUCCGGAUUUAUUUGGUUUAAAGGGAGCGUAGAUGGGUUGUUAAGUCAGUUGUGAAAGUUUGCGGCUCAACCGUCAAAUUGCCAUUGAUACUGGCAGUCUUGAGUACAGUUGAGGUAGGCGGAAUGCGCGGUGUAGCGGUGAAAUGCAUAGAUAUCACGCAGAACUCCGAUUGCGAAGGCAGCUUACUAAACGAUAACUGACACUGAAGCACGAAAGCGUGGGUAUCAAACAGGAUUAGAUACCCGGGUAGUC